GACGAACGCUGGCGGCGUGCUUAACACAUGCAAGUCGAACGGAAAGGCCCUGCUUGCAGGGUACUCGAGUGGCGAACGGGUGAGUAACACGUGGGUUAUCUGCCCUGCACUUCGGGAUAAGCCUGGGAAACUGGGUCUAAUACCGGAUAGGAGCCAUUUUUAGUGUGAUGGUUGGAAAGUUUUUUCGGUGUAGGAUGAGCUCGCGGCCUAUCAGCUUGUUGGUGGGGUAAUGGCCUACCAAGGCGGCGACGGGUAGCCGGCCUGAGAGGGUGGACAGCCACAUUGGGACUGAGAUACGGCCCAGACUCCUACGGGAGGCAGCAGUGGGGAAUAUUGCGCAAUGGGCGCAAGCCUGAUGCAGCGACGCCGCGUGGGGGAUGACGGCCUUCGGGUUGUAAACUCCUUUCGCUAGGGACGAAGCUUUUUGUGACGGUACCUAGAUAAGAAGCACCGGCUAACUACGUG
rnacentral:rRNA from 1 species